GGUUGGACGAAUAUGGAUUCGUUUUCAAGUCACUUUAGUUUCCAGGGGGGGAAGCU
rnacentral:ncRNA from 1 species